GAAAAUUAGAUAAUGAUUUUUGCGAAGUAAUUCCGCCAGUUUUAUUAUGUUCAGUUACAUAAUGAUCCCUUAGACAUUAUUGUGGCUACAGAGAUGAGCAUCCCUUGCUUGCGCAUCAAAGUUUCAAGUUAUAAGGAAACAAAUUGAAAAUGUAACUACAGAUGAAAAGAUGCACUUUGUGUCAUGCAUGUGAAUGUGGAUGUGUAGAUUCCACGUAAAUCGAGUCAGAAACACGUGUCGAGGCAUCAUGAUUUAGUUACCUAAUCGAAUAUUUUACGUCUCUGCGAUUGGGGAAUUAUUACAUGCUUACAUAGAAUCCAUCUGACAAAGUCUGGCAGAUAUAUCAAACUUCUUUUGCGUACAAAAAUCAUUCGUACAAUCUAAUUAAAUAACUUUCAGCUUUCAAUAUGAUUCACAUAUUUCUACCAAAUUCGAGCUGAACCAUGAAUACUCUCCGGCGUCUAUAUCUCCACAUCAUUCUCUAUCUUUUUAUUUGUUCCGGUAAUUUUAUAUUUUUCAUUUUUACUAUAAAAGAAAACUGUAAGUAGUAGUACCUUAUCAUAGAUAACAUAUCUCUAUUGGUGGACGCAAUACUAAAAUUUUCUUUUAAGAAUGCAAAAUUUGAAGUUCGCUCAGUGCGCAUUAUAUAUUAGAUCCAUAGAAGAAUGGUGAGUAAUAUCAAAAAAGGUUUACGAUUAUAACUACCCAAAAACGCAUGAUUUGAUUAGAACACUCGGGAAGAAGAAUCAAAGAAAGUGGAUGCGGGUCAAAAGUGCAGGUGCGUUUUUGGGUAGUAAAGAGAAAUGGGAAAAGAGGGCAACAGAUCCAAAUGGUCAUCUAAUCAGUAAUCACCCUCUAGCAACUUCAUUUCCACACAAACUUUUGGGCCUACACCUUUCUUUGUCUUUUUUUUUUCUUCCUUUCUUUUGGUUGUAAAUGGCAUUUUAGCAAUUUUGUAGUUUCAUAUCUUUAUACAAACAUUUGGAGAGGAGGAAAAGGUCAAACAAUAUUUACAUAAUCACAAGGUAAUUGAUUGUUGGAUUAUAUGCACUCUAAAGCACUAUCCUAUCAUUGGGUUUUGGUUCAUUCAACAUAUCUUUGGAUUAUCAGAAAACUUCAAUCCGUAAUCUUUCUAAACCCACGUCAUUUAAUAUUAG
rnacentral:lncRNA from 1 species